UAACAAUGAAAAAUAUACAAAAUUUAGGAAACAAAAUAUUCACUAAAAAAUUUCUAUAAACUUAAAAAAGUUUUGUGGACUGCCACAGAUUCAACAAAAAUUAGAAGUUUCCAUGAGUAGCCAUUGACUUAAAGCUUAUUCAGGAAAAACCACCUUUCAAAUAAGACUUCGGUUAGUGCCACUCUAACACUGACAACACUCUGAUCUGUUCAACUUGGCUGUGAGUCUUUCACAGUGAUUGUAGCACUCAUCCAAAAUAAUAUCUUUCCUACACACAGUGUGAUGCUGAAAAUAAUAUUUUACUUAAUAUACAUUAAAAAUAAACAUGUUAUAGGAACAAAUGUAUUCUCAUAAUUACAACAUGGAUACAGCAGUAGUAAAAACAAAUGUAUCUUACUAGGCAAUAUCUAAAUGGUUUUAAAAGAAAAAUGUCAGUUUUAGCAUAGAAUACAUUUGGUCACAUUUCAAAGACUUUUUACCUUUUGUUUUAUCCUCUAGGACAGCAGUGAAGUUUUCACUGUUAAGGACUAACACAUGUAAGCCUCAGAAUUUUCAUUUAUAUUUAGGCUCUCCUCUCCCCUGUAGUGACCAUUCCAUUAAUAGCUUUACUAUAAAUACUUCAUCAUAAGACAGUUUGGCACAUUCUCCUUGUUUUUUACAUGUGGUUUAGCUCUUUUUGGAAACAUGAUCUCUUUUCUUCAGUGCUACAUUCAUCAAAUUUAAAGGAUUAAAUAUUUUAUUCCUGGAAUAAAAUGCUUUUGCAGGGGGUUGGCCAUGCAAAGAGAAUUCAUGCACAUAGCCACUGCAAACCACAAUCAAUUUUUCACUUAAGAGAACCCAAACAUUUUGCUCUGACCCAAUUAUCCAAAGUGACUGUCCCAAUGUACUAGAUUCACUAGGUAGCUGUGACUACAUUUUCCUUGGGUUACAGAACUGUGGCCUUCAGUGUCCUUGGAAUCCUAAGGGAAGAAUUCACUCUACACAAGAUAAAAUUUUGAUCAAAAUUCUGUUUUGUUGAAAUAUUUUUAAAUUGUUAAUAUACACUAAAAAAAGCAAAGGGACCACUUGACAUUUCAAAUUAAAUAUGAAGCAAAUGCCGAGAAGCACACUGUCACUGCAGGUGUAGAAGUUCGGACUGCCCUCAAGCCAUCCUACUGCCUUUGCAGGCCAACUUCGCAGCUUUGAGUUUCCUUUCCUAGUCACAAGGAUGCAGUGAGAAAUGGAACCGAUGUCUUAGAGGCAUCCUGCAUUCUAAUCUGGACUGGACUAAAGGGACUGGACUAUUUGCUGGUCUCUUUGUGCUGGGUGGACAUUUGUUGUUUUCCUGCCUAUCUUGAAGUGAUACCAUCCUUCUCAGUCCAAGCUUCUCAGUCCAGGCACCUCUGGUGGUAGAACUCCACCUAGCCAUGCAGGGUAGGCUGGUGACUCACACCUGGCCAGUCAUACUUCCAGCCUGAGUGACUGAUUCAGAAAUGGACAUGUGACCCAAUCAAAGCCAGAGAUGCAGAAACUCUUGCUGGGACUUUCGGAGAAAAGACUCACUCUCAACUCCUCAAAGUUGGGUGGAUGUGAGGCCAGAGUUGCUGUUGCUAUCUUGCUACCAUCAGAUGACAGCCUGAGAAUGGAGUUUACCCAAAGGGAAUGGAGACAACAGAUGAAGUGCAAGAAGCCAGGACAAGAUAUCCAUGUUUGCACCCUGGUCAAAUGUUACCUGAAGCCACUUUAGCUCCUGGAGUUUGCAGUUACAUGAGGGAACAAACUUCAUUUUUGCUUAUGUCAGAAUUUUUGUUACUUAUAAUGGAAUCAAUCCAAAGUGGUACAGUGCUUUUUAUCCCAUAAGCUACAUAGUGAUCUCUUUUUCCUUUCUUUGCAGUAUCUAAACCAUUCAUUCUUUAAAUCCCACUUAAAUGCUACCUCAUCCAUGAAACAAUCUCUGCUUUCUUGUGCCAUAAGAACUCUCUCCCUUCUUUGAAAUCCCAGAGCAUUUUACAUGUUGGUCUCUUAUGGAACAUCCCUUACUAUAGUGUACUAAUUUUCUUUAGAUACAUGGCUUGUCCCCUGUAAGCUCUUGGCAGCUUCAGGGCAGGACUUUUGUUGUGAUUAUCUUUUUAUCACAGGACACACAAGGUGCUUUGAAUAAAAUGAGGUCUCAAUUCAUAUUUAUGGAAUGAACAGAUGAAUCAAUGAAAUGGACUUUGUCUCUGAGCAGGCAAUACACUCUGGGAAGAAGCCAGUUUUGCUCCAUAGGAGGAAGAGAACAAACUGCUGCUGGAGAUGCUGCAACAGUACAAGCUGUCAGGUCAAGAAGAGGCAGAGAAAGAGAUGAAGUCUGACAAGGGUAAAACCAGGGAGAGCGAGCACCAAGCACAAGAAAGCUGUAAAGACCCACAAGGCAAACAUUUAGAAAACCCACUCGCCCGUGGCUUCCUUUAUCCCAGAGUGUCAUUAGUGUCUGUGGUCAGCUACUUGUACUACCUCUGAAUUAGCUACCAUUUACUAAGUGCUUAGUACAUGCCAGGCACUGUGCUAAACAUUUCAUAUGCAUUGCCUCAUUUACUCUAUAAAAUAACAGUGAGUUGAAUAUUAUUUCUGUCAUUUUACAGAUGAAGAAACUGGGGUACAGAAAGAUGAGUAACUUGCUAAAAGUCACAAAGAUAGUUAAGUGUUAGAUCAGGAUUUAUGCUGGGAUUUUAGGCAGUGUGCAAAAAGUUUUUUUUUUAAAAAAAAGGCACAGGAAGGAGAGAAUGUGAAGAUGCUAUGGACUGAAUGUUUGUUUUCCUCCAAAAUUCAUAGAUUGAAACCCUCAUCUCCAAGGUGAUGGUAUUUGGAGAUGGAGCCUUUGGGAGGUAAUUAGGUCAUAAGGGUGGAGCCCUCAUGAUAGGAUUAGCACCCUUAUAAGAAGAAACAGAAGAGACAUUUUUCUCUUUUUCUCUCAUCGUGAACCAGGAGAGCUGUCACCAGUAACCUGACCAUGAUGGCAUCUUGAUCUCAGACUUUCCAGCCUCCAGAGCUUGAGAAAUAAAUGUCUGUUCUUUAAGUUAUCUAGUCUAUUUUGCUUUUUUAUAGCAGCCUGAACUGACUAAAAAGGAGAUCGAUAGGGUGAACAGUGAGAGAGAAAUGAGGAAAGUGUAGAGUCCUGUAACAAUGAGGAAAGGGCCCCACGUGGGGGAGAACAAUUGUUCUGAAAAAUGUCUAAUUACAGACAAUCCACUAGCACAUCUUGUUUCCAAAUACCUUGCUGUGCCUGUAGCCCGAGCAGCACCACCUUGUUCUGCAUAGCCCCUCUAGUACCACCCUACAAAACUUCCCUCCAGCCCCUGGUUCUUUGCAGAUAGCCUCUUCUCUGCUGUGCUGCCCACUGCACUGUUUCAAUGUAUUUUCAUACUUUCUCUAAUAAAUCUGCCUUUCUUUACC
rnacentral:lncRNA from 10 species